UGGACAUCAGCGGCAGCCUGCCUUAUUAUGAAAGGUAAGUAACUGUUAAUAUAAUGUUAAUAUAAUUUUAUGAUGUAUAUAACUGUUAUUACAUUAAGUAAUGUGUACUGAAACGUUAAUUAAAUCGUAAAACUAUUUAAAAACAAAGUUUUAAUUCCCUUUAGUCAGUUCUUCCCCAGAUCGAUUGUAAAUGAAUAUGCUAUUCCCGUUUGCUUGCUAGCAUUAAUAAAUAAAAACAUUAGCUGAAAGACUAGCAAAACCGUUUAGAGAAGUAUUACUUAACGUUAAUAAAAAUGUCUGGUGAAAUGUGAAAGGGCGCCGAAAUCUUUAGGCUAGAAAAGCCGCACGGACCAUUUAUCGGAUCGGACCAGUGACUGAAGCUGCUCGAGCGAGCCGAGCCGAGCUCACACAUCAGUCAUGCGACAGACACCAAGCGUUUGAAUUCGCUGAAUUUUCUGUUAUAGAAGUUCAAAACUCAGACGAAAGAGCAGAGUCGUAAGGCAAUCCGCUCUUUUAGCAGAAAUUCGUACCAGCGCCCCAAACUACAUAACGUUACGUUACUCCUACAACAGAGCGUAAAACAAGCCAUUCGUCAGUGUAUCAGAAUUAUUUGAAAGUGUUAAAAAAACAACCAACACAUACAUAGGCUAUAAUUGUUUUAUAUAGCCAUGCAUGUUGUAUUAAAGCCAUUACAGGAAUAAUGGAAUAGCCUGUAAUUAUAGUAAUUUUUUCUUAUGAAGCUAUAACAAUUUUGCAUUUAUAUUAAAUGUGUUAUACUAAACAUGUUUAUACUUAUGUUUUAGAUAAAUGGAUUUCUUUGUAAAGAAAAGAUUACAACAGCGGAACCUCUGCAAUUUAAUAGAAACAUUUCAAGGUAAGUAAUUAUUUAGUUUAGUGAUGUAUAAGUAGUUUUUUUUUAAAGACUUUUGUUUGUUAAUGGUAAUGAACUCUAGACGAACAAGUGAGUGAGGGUCCAAAGCAUUUUAUUUUUAUUGACAGAUACCGUGUUCUUCAUCCAG
rnacentral:lncRNA from 1 species